UACGAAGGGGGGCUAGCGUUGCUCGGAAUUACUGGGCGUAAAGGGCGCGUAGGCGGCACUGUUAGUCAGGCGUGAAAUUCCUGGGCUCAACCUGGGGACUGCGCUUGAUACGGCAGAGCUAGAGGAUGGAAGAGGCUCGCGGAAUUCCCAGUGUAGAGGUGAAAAUUCGUAGAUAUUGGGAAGAACACCGGUGGCGAAGGCGGCGAGCUGGUCCAUUACUGACGCUGAGGCGCGACAGCGUGGGGGAGCAAACAGG
rnacentral:rRNA from 1 species